AUAAUCCGAGUGCAAUCCGAUUAAUUUGCGCUGAAACGCUGACAGUUUUUUUACUAGUGAACGACUGACGUUUGACAUUCGAUUGAGAGUGUUCUGUGUUCCAUUUGUUUAUUUUUUUAUUCUUUGUUUAUAUAAUUUAUAACCUAGACAGUUUUGUUUUUAAAUAAAACUGAAACUGUGUCUAAGCUAAAAUGGAUAAUAUUCUUGAAGAAUUUUUGUUUGGGGACGAAAUUAGCAAAUGCCGUUAUACAUUUAGCAGAUGUACCUGCCUCACAAUUAUUCCAGAAGGAUGAGAUGAAAUUAAAUAUAUAUAAACCAUAAUUCAAUAUCCAAUUUAGAGAACAUUUUCGUAUGUCCAGAACUACUUUCCAGGAACUAUUUAAUUGUAUUGGUCAUAUCCACCAAUUUGAAAACAGAAUAAUUCUAUUGGAAAAAAUUAAUGUUUAUGAUGUGGAUGCUAAGUAAACCAGAGAAUUUGUUGCUGGGGAUACGUUUGGUUUGCCAAAGAGCUCUGGACAUAAGAUUUUCACCCAAAUAAUAUAGAAUUACAAAAAAUUGGAAAUAACUAAUCUUGAAUAUCAAUGUGUAUAUUGAGUUUAAUUUUAUUGUAAAUAUUCUAUAAUAUAAUUUUAUUGUAAAUAUUGUAUUAACACAUUUGUGGACACAUCUUCAUAUGCAGACAGUAAUUUCCCUUUGUAAGUACAUGCAUAUUAGUCGUAUCUGCGAAUGGGUUAAUUGUAAAUCGUAAUCAAUAAAAAUUUUUUGUGAAUCAAUAAAAAACUGGUUUGUUUGAAAAUAAAUGUAGUACAAAUGUG